rnacentral:rRNA from 1 species
AGGAUGAACGCUGGCGGCGUGCUUAACACAUGCAAGUCACGGGGGCCCAGCAAUGGGCAACCGGCGAACGGGUGCGUAACACGUGAGCAAUCUACCGAAAUGAGGGGGAUAGCCGGCCCAACGGCCGGGUAAUACCGCAUACGCUCGAGACCAGGCAUUUGGACUCGAGGAAACCUCCGGGGCAUUUCGAGGAGCUCGCGGCCUAUCAGCUAGUUGGUGAGGUAACGGCUCACCAAGGCGACGACGGGUAGCUGGUCUGAGAGGAUGGCCAGCCACAUUGGGACUGAGAUACGGCCCAGACUCCUACGGGAGGCAGCAGUGGGGAAUCUGCGCAAUGGCUAACGGCUGACGCAGCGACGCCGCGUGAGGAUGACGCUCUUCGGAGUGUAAACCUCUUUUGCCUGAGACGAAUGCCAGCUUCAGCUGGUUGACUGUAUCGGGUGAAGUAAGCGACCGGCUAACUCCGCGCCAGCAGCCGCGUAAUCUA